GCAGCACGGACUUCGGUCUGGUGGCGAGUGGCGAACGGGUGAGUAACAUAUCGGAACGUAUCCAAUAAUGGGGGAUAACUAAUCGAAAGGUUGGCUAAUACCGCAUACGCCCUACGGGGGAAAGCUAGGGACCUUCGGGCCUGGCGUUAAUGGAGCGGCCGAUAUCUGAUUAGCUAGUUGGUGGGGUAAAGGCCCACCAAGGCGACGAUCAGUAGCUGGUCUGAGAGGACGACCAGCCACACUGGAACUGAGACACGGUCCAGACUCCUACGGGAGGCAGCAGUGGGGAAUUUUGGACAAUGGGCGCAAGCCUGAUCCAGCCAUUCCGCGUGAGUGAAGAAGGCCUUCGGGUUGUAAAGCUCUUUCGCAAGGGAAGAACACUUAGCCACUAACAUUGGCUGAGGUUGACGGUACCUUGAUAAGAAGCACCGGCUAACUACGUGCCAGCAGCCGCGGUAAUACGUAGGGUGCGAGCGUUAAUCGGAAUUACUGGGCGUAAAGCGUGCGCAGGCGGUUUUGUAAGUCAGAUGUGAAAUCCCCGAGCUCAACUUGGGAACUGCGUUUGAAACUACAAGACUAGAAUAUGUCAGAGGGGGGUAGAAUUCCACGUGUAGCAGUGAAAUGCGUAGAGAUGUGGAGGAAUACCAAUGGCGAAGGCAGCCCCCUGGGAUAAUAUUGACGCUCAUGCACGAAAGCGUGGGGAGCAAACAGGAUUAGAUACCCUGGUAGUCCACGCCCUAAACGAUGUCUACUAGUUGUUGGUGGAGUAAAAUCCAUGAGUAACGCAGCUAACGCGUGAAGUAGACCGCCUGGGGAGUACGGUCGCAAGAUUAAAACUCAAAUGAAUUGACGGGGGCCCGCACAAGCGGUGGAUUAUGUGGAUUAAUUCGAUGCAACGCGAAAAACCUUACCUGGNNUUGAC
rnacentral:rRNA from 1 species